ACAAGCGGUGGAGCAUGUGGUUUAAUUUGUAAGCAACGCGAAGAACCUACCAGGCCUUGACAUGCAGAGAACUUUCCAGAGAUGGAUUGGUGCCUUCGGGAACUCUGACACAGGUGCUGCAUGGCUGUCGUCAGCUCGUGUCGUGAGAUGUUGGGUUAAGUCCCGUAACGAGCGCAACCCUUGUCCUUAGUUACCAGCACGUUAUGGUGGGCACUCUAAGGAGACUGCCGGUGACAAACCGGAGGAAGGUGGGGAUGACGCCAAGUCAUCAUGGCCCUUACGGCCUGGGCUACACACGUGCUACAAUGGUCGGUACAAAGGGUUGCCAAGCCGCGAGGUGGAGCUAAUCCCAUAAAACCGAUCGUAGUCCGGAUCGCAGUCUGCAACUCGACUGCGUGAAGUCGGAAUCGCUAGUAAUCGUGAAUCAGAAUGUCACGGUGAAUACGUUCCCGGGCCUU
rnacentral:rRNA from 1 species